AUUACUUGGGGAACUUGUUAAAAUGCAGAUUUGAUUCAGUAACUUGAGACAAAGCCUGAGAUUUUGCAUUUCUAACAAACUCCCAGGUGAUGCGAA
rnacentral:pre_miRNA from 1 species